GAGGCGAGCGCUGUAGAGAAGGGAUGUUUUGAAGAGCUAAUGACGAGACACGAGCCACUGCCAAACAAACGAGCGAGGAUCCGCUAGCAGGCUAGGAUAUUUUGGAAUUCUCAAUAAUUACUAUCAUCCUUGUGUCGUCGUCGUUGCGAACGUGCGCGUGAAGUUGCGUGUUCCUAGCUACGUCUGUUCGACGCCGAUACCGAAGGAGGAAGACAUUUCGACGUCGUUGCUCGCAGUAGUUGUUGCCGACGUAGGAGAGAAUUUUUGGUGAGAGGAGCGCUUCUGGGCCACGCUAGACACCAGACGCUGGAAACGUUGUCCGGUGUCUCCGUACGACAGUAUGAGCGCUCAACUCGAUGCCCGGAACGUCUGGCGUUACAUCGGAGUCGCGUCCACGGCUCUGUGUGCGAUCUCCGUGUCUGUAUGUCUAUACAGGAUAGCUAGCAUCGAUUCGGUUCUGCUGCGAGUUCAGAAAUCGGUUCGAGAACUGCAAGGCGACCUAAGUGACACCAGAGAACGGCUCUCUCAAUUGGAGUCCGAGGGAUCCAAUGGGAAACGUCGAGGGAACGUCACAAGGAGCCUUCCAGCGGACGGUGGCAUACGCAGUGAUGACGAGGAGUUUUAUGACUUCUCCGAGGUGUAAUUCACGCCGUCUUCGACGUGCCGCAUUUCAACGAAAGUGUAGGCUCUCCCUCAUAAACGUACGAACCGUGAUGAGAUCCCUUCGUCUGACGUCCGGAGCAGCAUAAAAAAAGUCCAUCGAGACCGCUCCUAUUCUACCGUUAUUUUGUACGAUACAUGGAUAUGAUGCAAUUUAUGAGGGCGGAAUCGCUCGACGCAGCCUGGACACGUGAGCAAGUCUGUAAAUAAAAGAUAACUUUCU